GACCCAAGUGGUAACCUCCUUCUAUACUGGGUGCUAGCAAUCAGAAGCAGCCUUAGACAUCAUCUUUGUGGCUGCCCCUCCUCUCUGAGACCCUGAGUACCUCACCAGAUCCCACCUCUUGCAAACACUGGAGUAUGGGCCAAUUAGGAGAGAGAAGGUUUCCACCAGCUAAAAUGACUCUGCUCUGAAGAAAGGGCUCUCAACACACACAGUGCGCUAGGAGGUGGGUGGUGUGGAAUAGCCAGCCACACAGAAGGUCCCCACUCAGUUCAGGCAUCCUAGACAUCUCCCUUUCUCUAGAGACUGCCAGAAAACUUGAAGCUUGUGCCUGGAGUAUUUGGGGAACAUGCUCAUGGGAGACAUUUUCAGCUGCUCAGGAUGAGCACACUACUAAGAAGUGGGUCCUCAGCAGCCAGCUCUUCCUCAGAGGCUCACAUUUUACUUUUCUCCAUGGAGUCUGGCAUGAAGGACUGGCAGCUGUGAUCAAUUCAAAUUUUCAUGAACGAAUGAUAAAUGCCAAUACUUGAAAAUUGAGAAACCAUCUAAGACAGCCCCUUCUGCACUUUGUCGCGUGACCCUGAGUCCAGAAGAGGAGUGAUAUCCACAUUUAUUAACUGUCUACUCAGAGAGAGACUGGCUUGUGUUUAACUUGAAUUAGUUCAUCAGUGUCAAAGAUACCACAGAGUAGGUUAUUAUUCAUGGUUAAUUCAAGAAAAAAAUCAAUAACUUGCUUUAAGAUAUUUGAUUAGUUUUGAGCAGGAAUCUCAGUAACCUGCCUUUCAGAUGGCAAAUAAUCAUUCAGUCAAUCAACAAGUAUUAAUUGUGGGCAUUCUACAUGCCAGGCAUGAGAAGUCACCACUUCCAAUGAAUGAGAUACCGUAAUAUCUGCCUGCAGUUGACUUAUAUUCUAGUGGGGAAAGAGAUUUUAAAAUAUCUAAACCAAAAAACCUCUAUAAAAUAAUCACUACUGUGGUAAGUCCUAUAAAGAAUGAAGUAUUGAGAUCAGAUAAAAAGUGCACUCAAAGCAGGCCUCUCUGGGACAGAUCACUGAGUGUAACUUGAAAGGUUGAGAAGGAGCCAAGGAACAAAUGGAAAAACAAAGAAUAUCCAGGCAUUGCAUACGAGGAACUCUCGAAGUAUGAAGGAACUCUAGAAUAUUCGAGGACCCGUAGGAAGACUAAUGUGGCAGCAGGAAAAGAGAUAAGAAAAGAAUGACAUAAGGUUGGAGACAUGUCCGAUGGGUGUUCAGAUGUCCAGAAGACUUGUGGGUAGGUCAUGUGAACAAUCCAAACUGUAUCACACAUGCAUUGGAAAGACAGCGGUUUUCAUCGGGAAGUGAUGUGGCCCCAUAUUUCAAGGUCACCCUUGCAAUGGUGCAAAUCGUGAAGGUGAAGAAUGGAAAGAGGAAGUCAGGAGUCUAUGGCAGGCGCUCGGCCAUCAGGGGAAUCUGGGUAAAAUCAAAAUCAAGGCAGACCAGAGACCAAGGACUAAUCAGCCCAUGUCCAGGAGUAUAAGGCUGGGCUAAUCAAAGUCCUGGUGAGUAUCAAACUCCUCCUCUCCAGAAAUAGAUGGUGAAAAUACCUCACAGAGUAUUCGCAAGAAUCACAAAAGCUAAAAAACACAAUAAGACUAUGAAACUGGACAAAUAUACUACAAAAAUUAAGGGCCAUUAUGGUCACAGAAAGCACUGCUUCCUUACUCUUUUAUUCACUCAUCCAAUAUUUUGGAGUCCUGGGUUUAAUGCAUUGCCUUCAAUCCAGCUUACAGUUUGCCUGGACUACAUUUACUAUGUGAACUUUGCACCCUAUAGGUAGUGUUGUAGGGUUUUGGAAAAUAGGUGCAGUAAAGGAAGUGGCAAAAUGACAUGAAGGUAAUAGUAAUUGUGAACUGAGGAUGUCAUUGUUAUUUAACGCCUCAUAUCAUUGAAAUCAUCAGUGCAUAACUGACUAAAAACCCUCUCUGAAUGAGAAAAAUACUUCACAUCUUUUCUCAUCAUGCUGUGUAUGUUGCUGUAGGCUACCUCAUUAUUUCAGAGCAGUUGCCCAUUCCUAGCUAGAAUAUGAUUGCUCACGUGACAAGAGCUGGGUCUUACAGCACAGCAUGGUGCUCUCCAAAUAUUUUCUGAGCUAAGUGGUUUUCCAAGGAAAUCAUAUGUGGAUGCUAAUUUUGACAUUUCAAGUUGAAGAGGAAAAAAGACUUCCAAAGGCCCUAUGAACUUGAUAAAAUCCACAAGGUGGAGGUCAGAAAAAUACAUAGUACUAGAGGCUGAAGAACCUUGAUUGACAGUGAAGAGUGAUUUUCCCAAAGCGGAAGGUCAAGGUGGACAAACUAGAGACAAACUUAGGUUUGUCUUUUUGCUUCACUGUCUACCUCUGCACACCAAGGACCCCCACCUGCCCCCAGGAUGGAGUAAGCACACUUAGCCUUGAGUGGCCACAGUGAGCCAGACAAUGACUAACCUCAGGCUGUACUGCUGGGGAUGGGCAUGGCCCACAAAGACUUCUCUCUGGAGGAGCAGAAGUGUGUGAGGUAUGAAUCUUGGAGGAGCAACUGUAGAAGGAGAAGGUCUGAGGGGGGCUUCAGACCAGCUGGGUAACACUGCCUUUUGCCUAGAGAGUUGCUUCCAGUCUACAUGUGACUUAGAAAGAAGAUGAUUCAGAGAUGGUUGUCAUCCAAACUUCUACCACACUAGAAUGGAAGCACAAUCGUAUUCCUGGAACAGGGACCGGAGAAGUCCUUACUCCUAGCCCAGCAGCCCUUACCAGAGCCCCCAGACAGUCCUGCUACCUCCUCUUUUAAGAGCACUGGAGUUCUCUUGGUAGCCCCUCUUCCCUGCCUGUAGGGUGUAUGCAGGUCUAUGCUCCUUAGCUUUUUGGCUCCAAACCCUUGGUGUGCAUAAGCUCGUCCGGUUCUCUGACAUUAGAAGUCUGGAUACUUAAGUCUCUGUUCAAACAGGUCUGCAGUAAUAAAAUCCUGAAAUCCACAAUUUGGGUGACUCUGGCCCUCAGCCUUGGAUGGUAGCUUGAGCAGUUCAGGGCUGGGGCUGUGGUUAAGAACUCAAGCUCAGGUGCUAGAGUGCCUGAGGUGGGAAUCCUGUUCAACCUCAUACUUGCUAUGUAACUCUGAAAAGCUAUUUAAAUGCUUCACAUUUUGAUGUCCAGCUCUAUAAAACAUGGAAGUAUUUACCUCAUAAACUUUGGAAAGGACUAAGUAUAAUAACACAUGCCACAGCAUACAUCCUAGUGCAUGACAGAGAGUCAGUGGUAAGUGGUCAUGAUUAAUAUUAUAUCUUUAAAUAAGCAGAAGCAACUGAAAGAGAAUCUUGUCUUGAAAAUCUCUUCUCUGCUGCUUGAUCCAGAGUGGGUUUUCAUUCUUAAUUUUAACCUGGCUGGGUUCAUUGAAGACUAACUCAUGGAGAUCCAUUAAUUGGGUGGUGCCACUGUGUUGAUGCAGUAGCAUUGCAAUUGAAUGGCACCAGCAUCACGGAAUCCCAACAUCCGGUGAUCGAUACACUGCCAAUGCAAAUUUGAGCAAGAGAUAUUAGCAACAUUGUGAUGGGUAAGAUUAUUUGUGUCAACCUAAUUGGCUCAGGAGCCACCCAAGAAAUUAAUGAAGCACACAUAUAGGUGUGUCUGGAUGGAUCUUGGAGGCAUGACCUUGGUUACUAGGUCUGGUUUCUCACCCUUUUCUCUCUGGCAUUGUCCCCAUGCUGUGCUUUCCUACAUCCAUGAACUAAGAAUCGUUGCUCUGUCAUGUGUUUCUGCCAUGAUAUUCCUACCUUGGCUGAACAUUCAGCCCACCAUGGACUGAAUCCUCUGAAAUCUGAGCCAAAUUAAACCUCUCCGUCUUUAAGUUAUGAUUGUCCAGUAUUGUGUUCCUGUGACAGAAAGGCUAAUUGAUACAAACAUCAUCUUACAUUUAGGCUGCAGUAAGGAAUGUAUAUCAUUGUCUGUUCAACAAGGAUGAAAGUUUAUUACUAUGGAAUUUCCUGGAGAGAAGAUGUCAGGAAAGGUCAAUGAACAGUGGAUAUUUUGUAUGUGUGAUUUUUGUCAUAUGUUGCCUUGUGACACUAAGGGAAAGGAAAGGACUUUCUUCCUCUUCUUAAAGAAUAUUAUGUGAGAGAGAAAAGUAGAAUGAUGAAAUGGAAUGAAGAAUGAAAAGUUUUGUGAUCAGUUCAAGAUGGCAGGCAGAACUGGUAACUCUUCUUGUGCUUGGGGAAAAUCUUGCAAAAAUUCUAGGACUAUAUUUCAAACUAGGCAAGAAAACAGAAGGAGUGAACAAGCAAGAGGGGGGCACUAGAAGACUUGAAGUUUGAGGAAUUUGUAAAUCACUGAAAGCAGAUACAAGGAGUGAGAGGCACUCACAUGCAUACAUUCCCCUGAGGAGAAGUUCUUCAGAGGAGCCCCAAGUCUGGAGGCAGGAAAUAGAAGAAUGGGUGGAGUGUCCUAAGCAGAAGGAAAAGACCGUCAGUCCAAAAAGAGGAGAUUGAAAAUGGGGCAUCCCCUGGAGUGGGUGAAGCCAGGAAUGCAUGGGAAAUACUCAGGUGUCUGGGUUGAUUGGCACACUGGGCAUCCCAGAACGAUCAUUCCCAUCCCUUGAACCAACACCAUCAGAUCUGAUCUCGUGGAGCAUUAGCCCUCUACACUCUGGGCCCAUAACGGCCUUUCCAUCUGUUUUGUCGGUCGAUUUCCCCAACCAUGGUCACUGUUCCUAAUGUACUAGACCAGCAGACACUCCCAGGGAAGAGUCCAUGCACUUGGGAUUUGCACUGCAUCCUUUUGUGGAUCCCACACUCAUUACCUUUGAACAACUCUUCCUUUGGCUUUCAUCCAAAUGCCUCCCUUCUGGAAGCCAGAUUCAAUACCCUUCAAUAUCACCUUAUGCCAACCUGGGCCUUUAUACCUGUGUAUAGCACCACUAAGGGUCUGCCUAGCAACACAAUCUGCAAGCUCAUGCCUUCAUUCUCUCAGGAUACUGAAAA